UCUGGUUUCAGACUAGCCAUGCACGUCUAGUACAAACUAAAUGAUGGUGAAACUGCAAAUGGCUCAUUACAACGGUUAUGAUGUACCCGGGAGUUCCGAUGGAUAUUUCCAGUAACACUAGAACUAAUACAUGUCCCUGCGUUUAUUAGUUUCGCACAGUCCGUCGCUGAGUCAUGGUAAACAGUUGAUCGACUCGACGUCCCGGAACAGUUUCCGCCCCAUCAGCUUCGAUGGUUGGGUAUUGGCCUACCAUUGCAACAACGGGUAACGAGGAAUUAGGGUUUGAUUUCGGAGAGGGAGCCUGAGAAACGGCUACCACAUCUACGGAUGGCAGCAGGCGCGCAAAUUACCCAAUGCAGACACUGUGAGGUAGUGACGAGAAAUAAUAAAGCGGGACUUCUGUUUCGCUAUUAUAAUGAGGAAUAACCAAAGGUCAUUCCGAUUAGCAACUGAUGGGAAAGUCUGGUGCCAGCAGCCGCGGUAAUACCAGCGUCAGUAGC
rnacentral:rRNA from 1 species